UACGAAGGGGGCUAGCGUUGUUCGGAUUUACUGGGCGUAAAGCGCACGUAGGCGGAUUGUUAAGUCAGGGGUGAAAUCCCGGAGCUCAACUCCGGAACUGCCUUUGAUACUGGCAAUCUUGAGGCUGGAAGAGGUUAGUGGAAUUCCCAGUGUAGAGGUGAAAUUCGUAGAUAUUGGGAAGAACACCAGUGGCGAAGGCGGCUAACUGGUCCAGAUCUGACGCUGAGGUGCGAAAGCGUUGGGAGCAAACAGG
rnacentral:rRNA from 1 species